CCCAAAUAUCAAAAAUAAAAUUCAUAAGAAGCAAUAAAACGAUGAGUUCUAGCCUUACUAUCCUGGGAGAUUAUCUCCUUCUUACUGUUCAUCAGUUCUGGUAAGGACUCCAGACACAAUUUUGGCUUUGGAGAAAGCCGAAAUGCUCUCUGUUAGUUGCUCCAUAGAUUCCUUCAGCGAAACACGUUGAGUUCUAGAGGUUUUGAAGCGAG
rnacentral:lncRNA from 1 species